rnacentral:rRNA from 1 species
AUGGCAAGCUUCAACCACGCCAACGACACCGCCCGGGACACCGGCUCUCCCCCGGCUGCGGCUGCUACGCCUACGCUCAGAGUUGGACCCCUUCCGCUAGACGCCGGCGAGUUCCGGCGUCAGGGACGUCAAGUUGUGGACUUCAUCGUGGACCACUACGACCGCAUUAACAAGUACCCCGUCCGCCCGGCCGUUGCUCCCGGGUUCCUAGCCCGGCAGCUUCCCGACACCGCGCCGUCGUGGCUGGAGCCCAACACGCUCGCCUCAGCGCUGCGCGAUGUCCAGGACCUCAACCUUCCCGGCGUCACCCACUGGCAGAGCCCCCGUCAUUUCGCGCACUUCGCGGCGAUGGCCAGCAACGUGGGCGCGCUCAGCGAGGCCCUCGCCGCGGGCCUCAACAUCAACCCUUUCACCUGGGUCGCCUCGCCGGCGGCCACCGAGCUUGAGACCGUUGUUACAGAUUGGCUGGGUAAGGCGCUACACCUCCCGGAGGAGCUGCUCUUCUGUGGUGGCGGAGGCGGCACGCUGCUGGGGACGUCGUGCGAUGGCCUUUUGAUUAAGAUAGGAGGACGAGAGAAGGCAGGAAGGCUAGCAGCAAGCACGGAGAAGAUCGGGCAUCAACGUAGUCGAUCUAGGAGCCACCAAGUCUUGGAACUCCAGUUGCCCAGCGGCGCGUCGCCUUGA